GCCAGGCAUGGAGGUGUGUGCCUGUAAUCCCAGCUACUCAGGAGGCUGAGGCAGGAGAAUUGCUUGAACCCGGGGGGCGGAGGUGGCAGUGAGCCAAGAUCGUGCCACUGCCCUCCAGCCUGGGUGACAGAGCGAGACUCUGUCUCAA
ensembl:misc_RNA Metazoa_SRP Metazoan signal recognition particle RNA